UACGGAGGAUGCAAGCGUUAUCCGGAAUGAUUGGGCGUAAAGCGUCCGCAGGUGGCCAUGUAAGUCUGCUGUCAAAGCGUCUGGCUCAACCAGAUAAAGGCAGUGGAAACUACAUAGCUAGAGUAAGGUAGGGGUAGAGGGAAUUCCUGGUGUAGCGGUGAAAUGCGUAGAGAUCAGGAAGAACACCAGUGGCGAAGGCGCUCUGCUAGGCCGUAACUGACACUCAGGGACGAAAGCUAGGGGAGCGAAUGGG
rnacentral:rRNA from 1 species